AUAAUGCAGUCGAGCGAACAGAUGAGAAGCUUGCUUCUCUGAUGUUAGCGGCGGACGGGUGAGUAACACGUGGGUAACCUACCUAUAAGACUGGGAUAACUCCGGGAAACCGGGGCUAAUACCGGAUAAUAUAUUGAACCGCAUGGUUCAAUGUUGAAAGACGGUUUCGGCUGUCACUUAUAGAUGGACCCGCGCCGUAUUAGCUAGUUGGUAAGGUAACGGCUUACCAAGGCAACGAUACGUAGCCGACCUGAGAGGGUGAUCGGCCACACUGGAACUGAGACACGGUCCAGACUCAAACGGGAGGCAGCAGUAGGGAAUCUUCCGCAAUGGGCGAAAGCCUGACGGAGCAACGCCGCGUGAGUGAUGAAGGUCUUAGGAUCGUAAAACUCUGUUGUUAGGGAAGAACAAAUUUGUUAGUAACUGAACAAGUCUUGACGGUACCUAACCAGAAAGCCACGGCUAACUACGUGCCAGCAGCCGCGGUAAUACGUAGGUGGCAAGCGUUAUCCGGAAUUAUUGGGCGUAAAGCGCGCGUAGGCGGUUUCUUAAGUCUGAUGGGAAAGCCCACGGCUCAACCGUGGAGGGUCAUUGGAAACUGGUGAACUUGAGUGCAGAAGAGGAGAGUGGAAUUCCAUGUGUAGCGGUGAAAUGCGCAGAGAUAUGGAGGAACACCAGUGCCGAAGGCGGCUCUCUGGUCUGUAACUGACGCUGAUGUGCCAAAGCGUGGGGAUCAAACAGGAUUAGAUACCCUGGUAGUCCACGCCGUAUACGAUGAGUGCUAAGUGUUAGGGGGAUUUCCGCCCCUUAGGGCUGCACCUAACGCAUUCAGCCACUCCGGCUGGCGGAGUACGACCCGCGAGGGUUGAAACUCCAAGGGAAUUGACGAGGGACCCCCACCAAGCGGCUGGAGCCCGGGGGUUUUAAUUGCGAAAGGCAGCGGGAAAGAAACCUUUAUCAAAU
rnacentral:rRNA from 2 species